CGGUGAGGUAGAGGCGCAGUAUUUAUUAGUUCUUAGUGGAGUUAGAGAAAGCGAUGAGUCUAAGAAGAAGGAAAUAUUGCCGAAGUGUGUAACAAGUUUCUCAUUGUUGCAUGCUGGGUCUGCAGUGAAUAACUGCAGGACUGUCUCAAUAAAUUUCUAUGGUUUAUUGAGUUGUGCUAUCUCAAAU
rnacentral:ncRNA from 1 species